CCCUGCUGAGUCAGCAUGCAUGGAAGCGUUCUUUGUUUGCGUCCAGAGUGAAGUGAACGCUUCUGUCUGAUCGCUUUUAUUCGAGCCAUUUUCUGUUCACUGCUUCUGAACGGUUUUGUUUGAGCUCCCAACAGAAGGACAGACACUAAUAUCUGAAAAACUACUUUUGCUCAAAUAAAAUACUCCGAGGAGAUAGGAGGCUGAGGUACACAGUCGCCUCCUAGUGCCCUUCCAAGUUUCCUACAUUUCCUUCCAGAAACCUCCUGAUAGUACAAACAAGAACUCAGUGCGCAGCUGCCCACCCAACAUGGUUUGAUGCAUGGAGAUUGGAUACAUCAGCAUCCGCAGGAACUAAAGUAGAAACCCGGGAAUACUUCUCCUGUCGGCCGUCAGCACUAGCCCCGUGCCUUGCCUUCACACCGUGCGGGUGCUCGAGUAGCCAGGUGAGCUCGUCUCUUUGUGAUCAGGAAAGCAAAGGAAACACACAGUGCUCAUCCCAGGAGUUUACAAAGAUAUCUGGAUUUGAAGUGGGCGGAGCUUAUGGAUCAUUAUGGAUCAGUUCUGUUGGAUUUCACAAAACAGCUUUCUCUUCUUUCUGCCAUUUAAAAAGUCGCAGAAGAGUUUUCCGAGUUUUUCCUGCUCCAAAAUCUUGCGUCUAGG
ensembl:lncRNA